AUUGAACGCUGGCGGCGUGCCUAAUACAUGCAAGUAGGACGCAGUUGCGAACGGGUGAUUAACGCGUAGGUAACUACCUAUUAGAGGGGGAUAACUAUUGGCAACGAUAGCUAAUACCGCAUACUAGUAGAUGGACCUUCGUUGUAUUAGCUAGUAGGUAGGGUAAUGGCCUACCUAGGCAACGAUACAUAGCCGACCUGGGAGGGGGAUCGGCCAAGAUGGGACUGAGACACGGCCCAGACUCCUACGGGAGGCAGCAGUAGGGAAUCUUCGGCAAUGGGGAGAACCCUGACCGAGCAACGCCGCGUGAGUGAAGAGGGUUUUCGGAUCGUAACGCUCUGUUGUUAAGGAAGCGGUACUUAACCAGAAAGGGACGGCUAACUACGUACCAGCAGCCGCGGUAAUUC
rnacentral:rRNA from 1 species